rnacentral:rRNA from 1 species
CGGCGAGUGAAGCGGCAACAGCUCAAAUUUGAAAUCUGGCGUCUUUGGCGUCCGAGUUGUAAUUUGCAGAGGGCGCUUUGGCGUUGGCAGCAGUCUAAGUUCCUUGGAACAGGACGUCACAGAGGGUGAGAAUCCCGUACGUGGUUGCUGGCCUUCGCCGUGUAAAGCCCCUUCGACGAGUCGAGUUGUUUGGGAAUGCAGCUCUAAAUGGGAGGUAAAUUUCUUCUAAAGCUAAAUACUGGCCAGAGACCGAUAGCGCACAAGUAGAGUGAUCGAAAGAUGAAAAGCACUUUGGAAAGAGAGUCAAACAGCACGUGAAAUUGUUAAAAGGGAAGCGCUUGCAGCCAGACUUGCCUGUAGUUGCUCAUCCGGACUUUUGUCCGGUGCACUCUUCUAUAGGCAGGCCAGCAUCAGUUUGGGCGGUUGGAUAAAGGUCUCUGUCAUGUACCUCUCUUCGGGGAGAACUUAUAGGGGAGACGACAUGCAACCAGCCUGGACUGAGGUCCGCGCAUUUGCUAGGAUGCUGGCGUAAUGGCUGUAAGCGGCCCGUCUUGAAACACGGACCAAGGAGUCUAACAUCUAUGCGAGUGUUUGGGUGUCAAGCCCGAACGCGUAAUGAAAGUGAACGGAGGUGGGAACCCCUCGGGGUGCACCAUCGACCGAUCCUGAUGUCUUCGGGGUGAA